rnacentral:lncRNA from 1 species
GAUUCCUAGUCUGGUGGCGAAAACAUGAAUGCACAUAGCUAACCAUACUGAAAUGUGGUGACUGAGGACUGGCUUCACCAGAGAAGGUGGAAGAACAGGAAUUGGGAAAACACCAGUAUGGGAUUUUCAUGAAUUUACAGAAGACCUGCAUUGGACCUGUGAACAUAUACUUGGCCUUGAGAAUAGCCUUGCCUACCUCUCCGCUGCCCAAGAAACCUGACACUAAGCUGAAACAUUUCCUUUGUAGGAGCAGCAUCCCAGCUACCUCACAUUUACAGAUUAUGACAUGGUUUUGGUUGUUUAUUUGCUUGUUUUCAAUGUAGCUCUCUGUUUAAAACAAAAUAGCUGCAUAAUCUUUGCAAAACUGAGGAAUAGUAGUUUUUAACAUGUUAGGGAAUAUUGUUCAAGGUACUUAGAGAAGACUGGAGGACUUUCAUCUGUCCUUGCUUUAGCUAACAAACUUACAAGAGCUAAGAUAUGUAAUGCAUUCACAGUUGCACCAUCUGAUGUAUUUGGGGAAUCAUAGCUGCUCUGCCUAAGUGACUAUGAGCUUACUGCACUUGCUUAUUUUAUGACACUGAGAUACCCUUCUGCUAAAUGUCAGACCAUUCUAUCUGUGAAUGCAUGUGACAGUGUAUCUCCCCAGGAACAUAUUCUUCAUUUCAUUCGUACUUGAAUUUUUAAUAAUCCCAACCAGAUGGACACCUGCCGCCUUCUCUAAAUAGCAAUGCUCCAGAGUUUGCUUAUCCUGAGGUUUUUUAACAUUUGUGAUAAACUCUUUAAUGAUCAGUAGCAAAGGGACCCCAGAGUUCAGCUUGCUAAUUAGUAAUACAGCUCCUGGCUAGUGUUAGGUCAACAAUAAUUGAUUUUUAUUUCACUGCUAUACUAUACACGUGUUCUCAAGCAGAGGUAUUUGUUCAUCUUACUGCAAAGAUUUCCAAAAAGCACUAAGUUGCAUCUGUUUACAAAGCAAGUCAGAAAAGUAGGCGUUUACAUUUUAUUCAUGUGGAAAAUUAAAAGGAUUGUUCUUAUCCUAAUCAUAUCUUCCUGUUACAGUAUUUACAAAUGUAGUAACAUACAAGAGUUUCUCCUGAUUCCAGGUAUCUCUAAGAUAUAAAUUUAAACGAAGUUGGAUUAUUAAUGAAAGUAGGCAUAAUACAUAUUAGGACACCAUCAAACACCGUCAAUCUACAUGCUUAUAGAUUUAAAUUUAUCACUCAUUUGCUUAUUCUCAUAGACCCAUUAAGAUUUGUUUGACCACUAGUAGUGAAAAAAGUAUUGACUAAAAGUAAGUAGAACUGAAUUCUAGUAUUAAAUCUACCGCUCUUUAAGUAUGCAACCUUCACUAAGUCAUGUCUUCACAUUUCUCUUUCGCUUUUGCAGUCUCUAAUCUGCAAGGCAAUUUGCUAUAAAAUUCUAUGCUAUGAAUUGAAAUUUCUUCUGUUCCCUUUCCUUUCUAGUGGCAUUUCCACUGACCCCAAGGAGCAGGUGACAUGUGCUAGCCUUCAAUGGAUCUUACUUGAAUAUAUUUAUAUUAUCAUUUACAUUCUAAAAUGUUUUUAUAGCAGGCUAUAGUUCUCUGGGCAUUUCCAUAUCAAUGUCUUUUAACCCCACUGGCAGAAUAAUAGCCUUUGCCAAUUUUUACAAGAAUAUUUGACCAUAACUAAACAAAUGUACAUUUGGAAUUUUCCAUUCUCCCCCAUGAGUAAAUUAUGCUUAAGCUCUAAAGAAUAUUUUGGGUGUUUUGUGGCUUGAGAUGUGCUGGGAAGUAAUCAGAUAUCGUGUCAUCUCCUAUGUACUGUGCUCUCUAUUCUGACCUAAACAUGAUUGCCAGCAAUUUUGAUGAAGAAACAGUGGUGCAGUUACCAAAUUUAUCCAUUAAGUAUGCUGAAUGAAAGAGCCAAACAGUACACUUGAGAAUUGUGAUUUAUCUCCAGAGCAUUUCUAGAAAUUACUGAUAGGCUAUAUAAUAAGGAAAAAUAUGUCAAAGCCUGAUUUUAUUUUUUGUCUUUUGUCUUUUUAGGGCUGCACCUGAGGUAUAUGGAGGUUCCCAGGCCAGGGCUUGAAUCAUAGCUGCAGCUGCCGGACUAUGCCACAGCCACAGCAACAAAAGCCUGAUUUUUGGUAAAACAACAAAAUCGACAGAACAAACCCAGAUUUAUAGAGACAAUUUUUUAAAAAGCUUCAUAAGGAAAAACAAUAAGUUGCUAUUCUUAAUAGGCUGCAUUAACGUAAGUAGAGUAUUUCAAUACCAGGAGGGGAUAUUCUUACUUGUUCCACAUUUGGAGAACUGCAUUUAAUUCUGUGUUUAAUUCUCGAGCUCGGUAAACUUUGUAUGGCAUCAUGUCUAAAAAGAGAAGUUCCCAAUCCUGGUUGCCCUUCAAAAGUGUUUUUGAAGCUUUCUGAAAUAAAAUGUGGUAGAACUCUACCCUGGGUAGUUCUAGGAUAUAUACCAAAUAGAUGCAUUGUUUUCAUGUUGACACAUAGCCAGCAUUAAUUGGUACAGUGGGAAGAUGUUGUCUAAGAAAGCUGAAUAGAUAUACAAAAUUAAUUAACUUGCACUUAAUUAUGUGAAUUAUAAGAAAUACCAAAGCGUGAAUAAUUUCGGUGAACUAAUAUAUUAUUGUAUUAAUCCUUAUAACAAUCUUCUUUUCUAAUGAUAACCAAGCUUCAAUGAUAUGAAAUAAUUUCCCCCAAAUAAUAUACUUGACAAAUGACUUCCUUGAUUUCAGAUUGUUUUCUCAUUUUAGUCAUUGCAUUAGACCGCUGGAAAGGCUACUAGUAGAGGACCUGGGAUGAUGGAAGGAAACAAAGUUCCAAGCCACGUUUGCAGUAGGCCUAAAGCAGGAACUCUCAGGUAUAGGGGCAGAAAGGGCUGUGGAGCCCUAGUGGGUUCAGGCAGUCAGAAAGAGUCACAGUUACAGCCAUGGAGCCCUAGUGGGAAUGGAGGGGCCAGGGUGGAGUUGGACAGGCUCUCCCAGCAGCAGAAUGGUACCCACUUGUCCUGUAGUAAAAGUCUCAUAGGAAAAAGCAAGGGAAAGAAAAUCCUUUGCUCACUUUGCCUCUUCUGGACACGGCAAUCGAAACUGCAAUCAGGAGUUCCCAUUGUGGUUCAGUGGAAAUGAAUCUGACUAGCAUCCAUGGGGACGCAAGUUCGAUUCCUGGCCUUGCUCAGUGGGUUAAGGAUCCAGCGUUGCUGUGAUCUGUGGUGUAGACUGCAGAUGCAGCUCAGAUCUGGCAUUGCUGUGACUGUGGUGUAGGCUGGUGGCUACAGCUCUGCUUUGACUCCUAGCCUGGGAACCUCCGUAUGCCACCAGUGAGAUCCUAAAAAGACACAUACACACAAAGAAAGAAACUGCAGUCAUUAGGUAGAGUUAUUUACAUCAGGGUAUCCAGUUCUUCCAAAGGGCUGGUCUUUAACACUGCAGCUAAGGAGAUGCUGGUUCCACCCUGGCUUUUCUUUUGUGUCUCAAGUUGAUCUGGUCCUAUAUCAUCUAUGCUGGAAUUUCUGCUUCAUAGUCCAUACUAUUAACUAAAAAUGUUCUGUCUGCUUCAUAAUCAUGUGGGUGCACGUGCACAAUUCUGCAUACCCUCUAACUUCUGGGUUCACUCUAAAAUUUCUUUAGAAACUGCUGUAGCCAUGAAAACAGUUGGGGUUUUUGUUUGAUUGAUUAAUUGAAUUGUUUUUUCUUUUUAAAAAAAGCUAUUUUGGGAUGUCCUGAUGGAAAUCAGACUGGUGCAGUGGUGCCUUCGUUGCUGCUAUCAGAGAGCCAGGACUUGCAAAUGAGGAUGGGCUGGCAGAGCAAUUCUCAGCCACUUUAGCUUAGUCAGGAGAGGACAGGCUCAGAAAGGCAGUGUUGAGGCUGUAGUCAGAGUAGCUGCUUAGCUCAGUUUGUUAUCACAGGACUAACAAAGAAGGAAAAGCCUGGGGUAGAGUGGGCUGGUGAGUUUAAACCCUUACUCAACAUUCCAAUGAUGUUUAGCUCCAGUGAAGACACAGGUGAACUUUCUUUGACCAAAUGACUGUAAGCUUCUAUUUGAGCUAAAAGAUGAAGGGCUUUAACUGGAAUCUUGAUUUCUCCACUGUUAUGUGUGACCCAGGAAAUAAAAUUAUACAAAAGACCUAAAAAGCACACAGGAGACAUAUUUUGUUUCUUCAAAGAGCUCUUAUUCUUGGUAUAUUUGAUUUUGGAAAAAAACUUUGUUCUUUCAGGAAUUGUAUUCUUAAAGUACACCAUUUCUUUUAUUUAUUAAUAUCUUAAUUGCAUGUAUUUUUAUACAUAAAAUUUGCUUUUAAGAAAGUGAAACAUUUCUGAGUAGUAAGUGUUACCAUAGUAAUGGGAAAUUUUUUCAGAGAAAGAAUGACUUCAAAGCAAAACACAAAAACAAACCAAAAAUGAGGAAUGGGCACAAAUUACUGAAUGUAUAUUUAUUAGAAAGUCACAAAAACAACCACAGGAGCCUGGUAUAGUAGAGCCAUUUUGCAGGGAACGUUUGAUAAAAUUAAUGGUUGAAGAUACACCAGAAGGAAAUGUCUAUUAUUGUGGCAUUUGAUACAGAAGAUAUAUGGUUCCCAAAAUGCUGUUGAAGGUAAACAAAUAUUCAUUAUUCAUUUUUUUUUUGCAGGUUGCCAUGUUAAUGUUCAGUGUCACUAAAAUAUUCUCUUGCAAAAGCCUUGGUUUUGCCCUCGAUGAGCUUUGUGACUUUUGAGGCAAAUUCAAUUCAUAUUUGAAUGCAAUAUUUUCCUCAAUAAAUUCAUGUCAUAGUUAAUAUAGAGGCCAUCGAAAUAAUGAUUGAUUCUUCUUUUGUGCACAAUGUAGUAUUGAUUUUUCUUUGUCAGCAUAAAUUAACUUACCCUUUUAGCUUCCCAAGACAAAAAUAAGCUAACCCACCUUUUUUUCCACUGGUACCAUAUUGGAAUGAUGUAUAUCCACUGGCAGCUUUUUUUUUUUUUAAUAUAUUGCUACAAUGAUUUUAUUAAAUACUCACAGAUUACUAAUAAAAUUC